UAGGGAAUCUUCGGCAAUGGGGGCAACCCUGACCGAGCAACGCCGCGUGAGUGAAGAAGGUUUUCGGAUCGUAAAGCUCUGUUGUAAGAGAAGAACGUGUGUGAGAGUGGAAAGUUCACACAGUGACGGUAACUUACCAGAAAGGGACGGCUAACUACGUGCCAGCAGCCGCGGUAAUACGUAGGUCCCGAGCGUUGUCCGGAUUUAUUGGGCGUAAAGCGAGCGCAGGCGGUUUAUUAAGUCUGAAGUUAAAGGCAGUGGCUUAACCAUUGUUCGCUUUGGAAACUGUUAAACUUGAGUGCAGAAGGGGAGAGUGGAAUUCCAUGUGUAGCGGUGAAAUGCGUAGAUAUAUGGAGGAACACCGGUGGCGAAAGCGGCUCUCUGGUCUGUAACUGACGCUGAGGCUCGAAAGCGUGGGGAGCAAACAGG
rnacentral:rRNA from 1 species